AGGAACUGCAAAACACAAAGAACUGUCAUUGAGGUGUGUAUGGGAACUGUUGAGUCACGGCCUGAGCCACUGAUUGAGCACCUGGAGGAAAGACCCAGUCAGCCCUGGGAGCACAGGUGAAGGCAAUUCACCUGAAGCCAGGCUCCACCCCUCAUUUAAGGACUGAUUGACACUUGGGGAGGAUCUCUAGAAAGAGAUGUCUCCUUUAUGGAGCUUUUCCCUGUGACCCCAGAAUCUUCCGAUGGGUGUCAGAUUUUGAAUGAAAUACCUUAAGGAAAUGAGAACAUCAGACUCAGCAUUGUUUUGUGCUUGUGUCUCAGCUACUGCUGAAGACAUAGUUAGCAGUCACCACAAGUGACUGGGUGCUUUCCAGGAUCAACAGUAUAUGCUGCAGCAUAUCAAAUUUUGCAGAGGAGCUUAAAAGCAGAUGAGAAAAAGAAUUCUCCAUGCAAAUGGGAGAAGAAUUUUCAGUCCUCUGGAGAAUCCCAGGUACAUCAACUCAGUUAAGAAUGCUGGCAGAAAUUUUUGGAAGAAUGGGGCAUGUCCAGUAUACCAUUGCUCUCCAUCAUUUCCAGCCAAUGGAGAAACCACUGGCUCCAGGGACAGCAUGGAACAACUGUGGGGCACUUCAGUGAGAGGGACGGGUAGGCUGGGUGGUUAGGCAACCUAACAGCUCAAAUGACUGAUGCUGGCAUUAGAGAACAUUUAGAGUCUUUGCAUCAUGCACUGCAAAUAUAAAGACAAACCAAAGAAUAAAAAUUUUGAAUUUGUCAGAAAAAUAAUUUGGUAUUAUGCUUCUUCUGUAUCCUUUACAUCAAUUUAAUUUACCCACAAGAAAAUGUAUAUUGUGUUUUCCAUGUAUUUGCAUAUAUACCUGUAUAGUAGCGUGUAUUAAUGCAUAAAUUUAUGUACGUUUCUUUACAAAAGACUCACAGUGAAGUACUCCACAAAUUGUUAAGAAUGUAACAUUUAGCCUCAUGGUUAAAAUGACGUAACUGAAAUCACAAUUAUGUACAUAAAUACACUGAGGUAAAGAGAGAGAAAUCUUUCAAUAUUUCAAUUUUCCUAGCAGAUGGUAAAAAGUACUUAGAGAUGAUAACUCUUCCUAGAUGUGCUAGCAUAUGCUGCAGAAUUGCGCAUACAGAAAAGACUCACUCAUUGCAAAUCUCCCAGGAGCUAUCACAAACAAAGCACAUCAAUUAAUAUUUGCUUAUUAUGUGACUGUGUGUAUGUGGCAAUUUUCUAUUU